CCACUUGGUCACAAUUCAGGAGCAGAGGAUGGAGGAUUUACAAAAUCGUCAGCCUGUGGCGUUCCCACAGGGCAAGGCUCACCAUCAUGAACCUAGUCUACUUGUCUCCUUGCACCAAAGCCUUUGUCCCUUUUCUCCUCUUGGAUUCAUUUGUGAGGUCAAUGGCAAGUUUCCAACAAAACAGCAAAAACCUUGUUUUGUUUGUUUGUUUGUUUGUUUUUCUUUUUUUGAGAGAGGGUCUUGCUCUGCCACCCAGGUUGGAGUGCAGUGGCACGAUCUUGGCUAAUUGCA
rnacentral:lncRNA from 1 species